AACAUUAAAAUUUCAUCAAUCUAUUUUUAUUUUUUUAUUUGCUGUAUAUUCAACAAAUCCAUGAAGUUUACAUCAGCUGAAUUGGUGGUUGCAUGUGGGUUCUGUGAAUCAUGAUGAGGGAAUGGGUUUUGUACCUAAUAUUUUCUAUUGGUAGUCAUGUCAUUCACAGAAAUUGAUGUAUAGCUGGCUGGUAGUUCCUUUAUACAGUUUGCUUUGAUUUUAGGUCAAUUUCAUUCCAUUCUUUUGUUGUUUGUAUAAAAGAACAUUUUUGACUAACAAGAAAUUCCCUGCUCCAAGUAGUUAUACGUUGAUUAGGUUAUCUUCCCUUGAAGAUCUGUUCUGCACAGAAAAUUAUGUUUUGCCAUACAUUGUUCACUGAAAAUGUGUGUAUCCGUAUCAAGGUAUGGGGUUUGUAUCUAUUUGGUCAGUGGUGAUGUGAUUGAUAAGAAGGAAGAGGCUUUCUCACAAUCAGAUGCCAUUGCUCCAUUGUUUGUGUUACUAGGGAAUUCUCUUCUAGGUAGUGUAUUUGAUGAGUGUUGAUGUGAUUGAUAGAUUUUUAUUGAUGGUUGUGUAUACUUUCUUUUUCCAUUGAUUUGCUGUUUCCAAUGUAUCCCUACCUAGGACAUUUACCAACUCUCAUUGCCAUGAGUAGAAUCAUUGUUUGGGGUAGUUGAUGAUUGUUUUCCCUAUGGUGUAAUGAUAUUUAGGUGCACUGUAGUAGGUAUGGUGUCAUAUCUCAUUUUUUGCUUCCUAUUUCUUGAUUUCUUGAAACUUUCACUUGUUUUUCCUUUUUUUGUGUUGAUUCAGGUUUUGCUCCUAUGAUUAGUUGUCUCUAUGCCAUUGAAUGGAGAUGCAUGUGGACUCAGAUUUCGUUUUCCCUCCAUUUCCAUCCUCAACUUGAAUUCAAAAAACUGUUGAUGAAGAUGUUAUCCCUAAGACUUAUUUCAACAUGUUUCCUUUUUCUGAUUUGCUGAAUAUGAUCGAAGAUUAUGAUUUUUUAGUUGAUGUUAUUGGUCUUUUAACUUCAGUGGGAG